AUUGAACGCUGGCGGCAGGCCUAACACAUGCAAGUCGAGCGGAUGACGGGAGCUUGCUCCUUGAUUCAGCGGCGGACGGGUGAGUAAUGCCUAGGAAUCUGCCUGGUAGUGGGGGACAACGUUUCGAAAGGAACGCUAAUACCGCAUACGCCCGACGGGAGCAAGCAGGGGACCUUCGGGCCUUGCGCUAUCAGAUGAGCCUAGGUCGGAUUAGCUAGUAGGUGAGGUAAUGGCUCACCUAGGCGACGAUCCGUAACUGGUCUGAGCGGAUGAACAGUCACACUGGAACUGAGACACGGUCCAGACUCCGACGGGAGGCAGCAGUGGGGAAUAUUGGACAAUGGGCGAAAGCCUGAUCCAGCCAUGCCGCGUGUGUGAAGAAGGUCUUCGGAUUGUAAAGCACUUUAAGUUGGGAGGAAGGGCAGUAAGCUAAUACCUUGCUGUUUUGACGUUACCGACAGAAUAAGCACCGGCUAACUCUGUGCCAGCCGCCGCCGUAAAAC
rnacentral:rRNA from 1 species